rnacentral:rRNA from 1 species
AUUGAACGCUGGCGGCAGGCCUAACACAUGCAAGUCGAGCGAGCGGCGGACGGGUGAGUAAUGUAUGGGGACUGCCCGAUAGAGGGGGAUAACUACUGGAAACGGUAGCUAAUACCGCAUACUAUCGGAUAACCCAGAUGGGGUUAGCUAGUAGGUGAGGGAAUGGCUCACCUAGGCGACGCUCCCUAGCUGGUCUGAGAGGAUGAUCAGCCACACUGGGUGGGAGACACGGCCCAUACUCCUACGGAGGGAGGUGUGGGGAAUGUUGCACAAUGGGCGCAAGCCUGAUGCAGCCAGGCCGGGUGUAUGAAGAAGGCCGAGGGUUGUAAAGUACUUUCAGUCGGGAAGCGUUACCGACAGAAGAAGCACCGGCUAACUCCGUGCCAGCAGCCGCGGUAAUAC